UACGAAGGGGGCUAGCGUUGCUCGGAAUUACUGGGCGUAAAGGGCGCGUAGGCGGAUAUUUAAGUCGGGGGUGAAAGCCCAGGGCUCAACCCUGGAAUUGCCUUCGAUACUGGAUAUCUUGAGUUCGGGAGAGGUGAGUGGAAUGCCGAGUGUAGAGGGUGAAAUUCGUAGAUAUUCGGCGGAACACCAGUGGCGAAGGCGACUCACUGGCCCGAUACUGACGCUGAGGCGCGAAAGCGUGGGGAGCAAACAGGG
rnacentral:rRNA from 1 species